rnacentral:rRNA from 1 species
GACGAACGCUGGCGGCGCGCUUAACACAUGCAAGUCGAGCGAAGCGGCGGACGGGUGAGUAACACGUGAGUAACCUGCCUUAGACAUUGGGAUAGCCUCGGGCAACCGGGAUUCAUACCAAAUGUUCUAAGAUGGACUCGCGUCCCAUUACCUAGUUGGUGAGGUAACGGCCCACCAAGGCGACUAUGGGUAGCCGGCCUGAGAGGGUGAACGGCCACAUUGGAACUGAGAAACGGUCCAAACUCUACGGGAGGCAGCAGUGGGGAAUAUUGCACAAUGGAGGGAACUCUGAUGCAGCGACGCCGCGUGAACGAAGAAGGCUUUCGAGUUGUAAACCGCUUUCAGCCAUGACGCGGUAGUGGCAGAAGAAGCACCGGCUAACUACGUGCCAGCAGCCGCGGUAAUAC